rnacentral:rRNA from 1 species
CCUACGGGUGGCAGCAGUGGGGAAUAUUGCGCAAUGGGCGAAAGCCUGACGCAGCGACGCCGCGUGAGGGAUGAAGGUCUUCGGAUCGUAAACCUCUGUCAGCAGGGAAGAACGGUCACUGUGCUAAUCAGCAGUGAAUUUACGGUACCUGCAAAGGAAGCACCGGCUUACUCCGUGCCAGCAGCUGCGGUAAUACGGAGGGUGGGAGCGCUAAUCGGAAUUACUGGGCGUAAAGCGGUCGUAGGCGGUAUGUCAAAUCAAGGGGGAAAUCCCCGGGCCCAACGUGGGAACUGCCUUUGAAACUGGCAAACUGGAGUGUGUGAGAGGAAUGUGGAA